CGUGGGCGGCGUGCCUAUASAUGSAAGUCGAACGAACUCYGGAAUUGAUUGGUGCUUGCAUCAUGAAUUACAUUUGAGUGAGUGGCGAACUGGUGAGUAACACGUGGGAAACCUGCCCAGAAGCGGGGGAUAACACCUGGAAACAGAUGCUAAUACCGCAUAACAACUUGGACCGCAUGGUCCGAGUUUGAAAGAUGGCUUCGGCUAUCACUUUUGGAUGGUCCCGCGGCGUAUUAGCUAGAUGGUGRGGUAACGGCUCACCAUGGCAAUGAUACGUAGCCGACCUGAGAGGGUAAUCGGCCACAUUGGGACUGAGACACGGCCCAAACUCCUACGGGAGGCAGCAGUAGGGAAUCUUCCACAAUGGACGAAAGUCUGAUGGAGCAACGCCGCGUGAGUGAARAAGGGUUUCGGCUCGUAAAACUCUGUUGUUAAARAAGAACAUAUCUGAGAGUAACUGUUCAGGUAUUGACGGUAUUUAACCAGAAAGCCACGGCUAACUACGUGCCAGCAGCCGCGGUAAUACGUAGGUGGCAAGCGUUGUCCGGAUUUAUUGGGCGUAAAGCGAGCGCAGGCGGUUUUUUAAGUCUGAUGUGAAAGCCUUCGGCUCAACCGAAGAAGUGCAUCGGAAACUGGGAAACUUGAGUGCAGAAGAGGACAGUGGAACUCCAUGUGUAGCGGUGAAAUGCGUAGAUAUAUGGAAGAACACCAGUGGCGAAGGCGGCUGUCUGGUCUGUAACUGACGCUGAGGCUCGAAAGUAUGGGUAGCAAACAGGAUUAGAUACCCUGGUAGUCCAUACCGUAAACGAUGAAUGCUAAGUGUUGGAGGGUUCCGCCCUUCAGUGCUGCAGCUAACGCAUUAAGCAUUCCGCCUGGGGAGUACGGCCGCAAGGCUGAAACUCAAAGGAAUUGACGGGGGCCCGCACAAGCGGUGGAGCAUGUGGUUUAAUUCGAAGCUACGCGAAGAACCUUACCAGGUCUUGACAUACUAUGCAAAUCUAAGAGAUUAGACGUUCCCUUCGGGGACAUGGAUACAGGUGGUGCAUGGUUGUCGUCAGCUCGUGUCGUGAGAUGUUGGGUUAAGUCCCGCAACGAGCGCAACCCUUAUUAUCAGUUGCCAGCAUUAAGUUGGGCACUCUGGUGAGACUGCCGGUGACAAACCGGAGGAAGGUGGGGAUGACGUCAAAUCAUCAUGCCCCUUAUGACCUGGGCUACACACGUGCUACAAUGGAUGGUACAACGAGUUGCGAACUCGCGAGA
rnacentral:rRNA from 1 species